rnacentral:snRNA from 1 species
GGGUAUACGGGCAAUCUGGCUGUGGCAUCUGUGACCCCACUCAUCAAUGGGGUUGACUGAACUGAUCUGGCUGGCUAGGCAGGGACCCCCCUUCUCCCUCACCUUAACACUUGACUCCAUGUGCAUCCCCCCUAAAGCUGUGGGCUCAAAGAAGACAACCACCCCCAACAGAGGAGGACCAUUUCCUCGGUCAUGGAUAUAUGAGUAGUUAUGCCACCCUGAUAGAAUGUCCAAAAACCAAAACAUAAUUUAAAAAUCUUGCCAACUUGAAAUGUAUAAUGAACAUUUUAGUUUAUUUCCUA